GUACAUUACUUCCCAAUGGCAGAAGUCCUAAUGUGUUGUCGUUAGCACACACCGUUGUGUGCUUGUUUGCUGUCGAAUGGAGAGGAGGAAGAAAUAUGACAGGGAAACGAAAAACUAAAUCUACUCCUCAGGAGUCAGAUUCUGCCGACGGGGAGUUGAAGAAGAAAUGCCGUCCGGAGGAGCCGACAGCGAGACCGACUACUGCUGAGGUACCGGCAAGACUGAGGGAGGAGGUGGAGAGACUCUAUAAACUGAGGAUGCCUGAAGACUUCUACCUCUUCUGGGACUUCUGCUCCCUGCUCAGCCCCGAUAACCCCCGGGACGCUCUGAAGGAAAUCCUGGGUUUGAGGUUGGUUGGCCCGUUUGACAUUCUUGCGGAGGCCCACCGUAGCUCAGCCAACCCCCAGCCCAACUACCACCUACACUGGAGGCACUUCUACGACCCUCCGGAGUACCAGACCGUACUGCAAGGGAAUGGAGACAACCUGCUACACCUGGGUUACUACAGAGAUAGUCCGGACUCCCUGCCUGUGUUCCUAGGGGAGAAUGAAGCCAAGAAGGGCUGUACCAUCACGCAGAUGGGGGACAACAUGUUUGCUGCUGUCCAUCUGUUUCUGGGGAGGAAGAGGAAGGAGAGGGGCGGGCAUAAGGAAGGGGGCAAGGCUCUGGAUAACCUGGAGGAGGAGUUAAGAGAGAGGGCGGAGUCUCUGGGCUUUUCCCUGGAGCAGAAGACCAAAGGCAUGAAGCAGAGAGACAAGAAGGUGACACCCCGUACUGAGACGGUAACACCCCGUACUGAGACGGUAACACCCCAUACUGAGACGGUAACACCCCGUACUGAGACGGUAACACCCCGUACUGAGACGGUAACACCCCGUACUGAGACGGUAACACCCCGUACUGAGACGGUGACACCCCAUACUGAGACGGUAACACCCCGUACUGAGACGGUAACACCCCGUACUGAGACGGUAACACCCCGUACUGAGACGGUAACACCCCGUACUGAGACGGUAACACCCCGUACUGAGACGGUAACACCCCGUACUGAGACGGUAAUACCCCGUACUGAGACGGUAACACCCCGUACUGAGACGGUACUGAGACGGUAACACCCCGUACUGAGACGGUAACACCCCGUACUGAGACGGUACUAGAAGGUACAUCCCGUACUGAGGCGGUACUAGAAGGUAACACCCCGUACUGAGACGGUACUAGAAGGUAACACCCCGUACUGAGACGCUACCAGAAGGUGACAGUCUAACCGCCACCUGUCCAUGUCCAGGUUGUCACCAAGACGUUCCAUGGAGCCGGCCUGGUGGUUCCUGUUGAUCAGAAUGAUGUUGGUUACCGGGAGCUGCCGGAGACAGACGCGAGUAUGAAGAGGCUGUGUAAGGCUAUAGCGGAGGCCAGGUGUGAUGAAGACAGGAUGAAGGCUUUCGGCCCGCUGCAGGAGAUGAUCACCUUCGUCCAGUUCGCUAACGACGAGUGUGACUACGGCAUGGGGCUGGAGCUGGGCAUAGACCUCUUCUGUUACGGAUCACAGUACUUCUAUAAGGUGAUCAGACAACUGCUGCCCAUGGCCUACAGCCUGCUGAAGAGGGGCCUGUUUGGAGAGAUCCUGGAGGCUCACCUCUCCAGCCGUUCCCACGACAACCUGGACCAACUCACCUCAGCCUGAAGAAUACCACGGGAGAGGAAGAAGAAGAGAGAGAGAGAAGAAGAGGGAUGGAUUGUUGUCAGCUCUGACCACUGUGUGUUUUUUAUGAGUCUUGUUGUGGUGCUGCUGUUGAAUGGUACCAGUGGCGUCUCUCUCUGUGUGCAUAUGUGGAAUAAAGGAUUAUAUUUCUAAGAGAUGGUCUUUUA